UGUGGGCCUAAUGGGCCUACGGGCCCAAUUGGAUAAGUUGUUUGAUUGUGUAGUAAAUAUUGGACUAGGCUAGGUGAAUCUCAUAUUUGUGGCUAGAUUUGGGCUAAAAGGGCCACACGAGUGUGUGGGCCCAUUUGGGCCGAGAAUAGGCUUUAGGCCCAUUCGUAUUGUUAUCCCUGUUUAGAAUACUUUAGUUUACCAAAUUACUGAAAUGCCC
rnacentral:lncRNA from 1 species